GACAGAGGAGGCAAGCGAUGUUCGGAAUCACUGGGCUUAAAGCGGGUGUAGGCGGCCAGGUAAGCGUCGUGUGAAAUCCCACGGCUCAACCGUGGAACUGCACGGCGAACUUCCUGGCUUGAGGUCGGUAGAGGUGCCUGGAACUCUCGGUGGAGCGGUGAAAUGCGUAGAUAUCGAGAGGAACGCCGGAGGCGAAAGCGGGGCACUGGGCCGAUUCUGACGCUGAGACCCGAAAGCGUGGGGAGCAAACAGG
rnacentral:rRNA from 1 species